rnacentral:tRNA from 1 species
GCUGUAAUGGCUGAGUGGUAAGGCAUUGGAAUCAAAAUCCAAUGGGGUUUCCCCGAGCAGGUUCAAAUCCUGCUCACAGCA